rnacentral:rRNA from 1 species
AUUGAACGCUGGCGGCAGGCCUAACACAUGCAAGUCGAACGAGUGGCGGACGGGUGAGUAAUGUAUGGGAAACUGCCUGCUGGAGGGGGAUAACUACUGGAAACGGUAGCUAAUACCGCAUACCAUCGGAUGUGCCCAGAUUGGAUUAGCUAGUCGGUGGGGUAAAGGCUCAACAAGGCGACGAGCCCUAGAUGGUCUGAGAGGAGGACCAGCCACACUGGAACUGAGACACGGGCCAGACUCCUAAGGGAGGCAGCAGUGGGGAAUAUUGCACAAUGGGCGCAAGCCUGAUGCAGCCAGGCCGCGUGUAUGAAGAAGGCCUUCGGGUUGUAAAGUACUUUCAGCGGGGAGGCGUUACCCACAGAAGAAGCACCGGCUAACUCCGUGCCAGCCGCCGCGGUAAUUC